UAUGCCGCGUGGAGGAUAAGGUCUUCGGAUUGUAAACUCCUGUUGAUCGGGACGAAUGGCUCCGACCUAACACGUCGGAGAAUGACGGUACCGGUUGAGGAAGCCACGGCUAACUCUGUGCCAGCAGCCGCGGUAAUACAGAGGUGGCAAGCGUUGUUCGGAAUUACUGGGCGUAAAGGGCGCGUAGGCGGCCUUCUAAGUCGGACGUGAAAGCCCCAGGCUUAACCUGUGAACUGCGUCCGAUACUGGGAGGCUUGGAUUCGGGAGAGGAAUGUGGAAUUCCAGGUGUAGCGGUGAAAUGCGUAGAUAUCUGGAGGAACACCGGUGGCGAAGGCGGCAUUCUGGACCGACAUCGACGCUGAGGCGCGAAAGCCAGGGGAGCAAACGGGAUUAGAUACCCCGGUAGUCCUGGCCCUAAACGGUGAGUGCUUGGUGUGGCGGGUAUCGAUCCCUGCCGUGCCGAAGCUAACGCAUUAAGCACUCCGCCUGGGGAGUACGGUCGCAAGGCUGAAACUCAUAGGAAUUGACGGGGUGCCGCACAAGCGGUGGCGCAUGUGGUUUACU
rnacentral:rRNA from 1 species